UCAAUCACUGCUGUGAUCCCUUCCCAACUGUGUACAUCCAGCUCUGAUCCAAUGCAGUGUAUGGAGAGCAGUGCCCCCUGCUGGUUGACCGUCAGAACAGCUGCCAAUGACUGGACCUGGACCAGGUCAGCAUCAUCUCCAGCUGGACAACUGGACUGGAUCAGGUCAUCCUCUACAGCUGGAAGAGCAGGACCACACCAGUGUUCUCCUAGCAGCACCUGCUCUUCCAGACCACACAGAGCAUCUGGAGCUCAGAGACACCUGUCAUCAUCAUUGACCUCUGACCCCCAGCUGGAGCGCCGCUCUGGAAACACUGGGAAGAGCC